UACGAAGGGGGGCUAGCGUUGCUCGGAAUGACUGGGCGUAAAGGGCGCGUAGGCGGCGCAGUUAGUCAGGCGUGAAAUUCCUGGGCUCAACCUGGGGACUGCGCUUGAUACGGCUGUGCUUGAGGAUGGAAGAGGCUCGCGGAAUUCCCCAGUGUGGAGGUGAAAAUUCGUAGAUAUUGGGGAAAGAACACCCGGUGGCGAAGGCGGCGAGCUGGUCCAUUACUGACGCUGAGGCGCGACAGCGUGGGGGAGCAAACAGG
rnacentral:rRNA from 1 species